rnacentral:rRNA from 1 species
AGUGAACGCUGGCGGUAGGCCUAACACAUGCAAGUCGAACGGCAGCACAGUAAGAGCUUGCUCUUACGGGUGGCGAGUGGCGGACGGGUGAGGAAUACAUCGGAAUCUACUUUUUCGUGGGGGAUAACGUAGGGAAGCUUACGCUAAUACCGCAUACGACCUACGGGUGAAAGCAGGGGAUCUUCGGACCUUGCGCGAUUGAAUGAGCCGAUGUCGGAUUAGCUAGUUGGCGGGGUAAAGGCCCACCAAGGCGACGAUCCGUAGCUGGUCUGAGAGGAUGAUCAGCCACACUGGAACUGAGACACGGUCCAGACUCCUACGGGAGGCAGCAGUGGGGAAUAUUGGACAAUGGGCGCAAGCCUGAUCCAGCCAUACCGCGUGGGUGAAGAAGGCCUUCGGGUUGUAAAGCCCUUUUGUUGGGAAAGAAAAGCAGCAGGUUAAUACCCCGCUGUUCUGACGGUACCCAAAGAAUAAGCAUCGGCUAACUUCGUG